rnacentral:rRNA from 1 species
AGUCGAGUGGAAUGACGAGAGCUUGCUCUCUGAUUUUAGCGGCGGACGGGUGAGUAACACGUGGGCAACCUGCCCUACAGAUGGGGAUAACUCCGGGAAACCGGGGCUAAUACCGAAUAAUCAGUUUGUCCGCAUGGACAAACUCUGAAAGACGGUUUCGGCUGUCACUGUAGGAUGGGCCCGCGGCGCAUUAGCUAGUUGGUGGGGUAAUGGCCUACCAAGGCAACGAUGCGUAGCCGACCUGAGAGGGUGAUCGGCCACACUGGGACUGAGACACGGCCCAGACUCCUACGGGAGGCAGCAGUAGGGAAUCUUCCACAAUGGACGAAAGUCUGAUGGAGCAAUGCCGCGUGAGCGAAGAAGGUUUUCGGAUCGUAAAGCUCUGUUGUAAGGGAAGAACACGUACGGGAGUAACUGCCCGUGCCAUGACGGUACCUUAUUAGAAAGCCACGGCUAACUACGUGCCAGCAGCCGCGGUAAUACGUAGGUGGCAAGCGUUGUCCGGAAUUAUUGGGCGUAAAGCGCGCGCAGGCGGUUCUUUAAGUCUGAUGUGAAAGCCCACGGCUCAACCGUGGAGGGUCAUUGGAAACUGGAGAACUUGAGUACAGAAGAGGAAAGCGGA